rnacentral:rRNA from 1 species
UUAAAUUGAAGAGUUUGAUCAUGGCUCAGAUUGAACGCUGGCGGCAGGCCUAACACAUGCAAGUCGAACGGUAACAGGAAUCAGCUUGCUGAUUCGCUGACGAGUGGCGGACGGGUGAGUAAUGUCUGGGAAACUGCCUGAUGGAGGGGGAUAACUACUGGAAACGGUAGCUAAUACCGCAUAACGUCGCAAGACCAAAGAGGGGGACCUUC